CACACACCAGCCAUGCUUGAUUGUUGUGAAAACCGUGGAUGAACUAUGAGCGUUUGAUGUGAUUUAAUGUCUUUAUAAGGUUGUGUGGUGUGUUUACAAAAGACUGUAAGAUUGAACAUUCUGUAGGAUGGAACAUUCUUUGAUAUGAAAUCUGCUUGCAACAUACACAGGUCUACCCAUGAUUGGAGCCAUAUACUUUGGGCAAGGAUCUUCAUUCCUAUACAAGACUGUCAAGUAUGAGUUGGUUCUUGGUGAACCCUGCAGGACCUUAUUGGAGUUGACUACGUGGGCCCAGUGUGGAGGACCUCAGUGGAGAUGACUAUACGUGGGCCCAGUGCGUUGGCGAAUGGAAAUGACUGUAGAUUGAAACAGCAGCUCAAGGACUGCAAUAAUUCGUCUGGAUUGAUUCCAAGUGACAAGCACUAAGCACUAGUUCUAUCAAGCAAAUACCGACAACCCUAAUUUGUGUAUCGGUGAAAAAAUACAUCCCUUGAUUAAACUGUACA